rnacentral:rRNA from 1 species
GACGAACGCUGGCGGCGUGCUUAACACAUGCAAGUCGAACGGAAAGGCCCUGCUUUUGUUGGGUGCUCGAAUGGCGAACGGGUGAGUAACACGUGUGUAACCUGCCCUUGACUUUGGGAUAACUUCAGGAAACUCGGGCUAAUACCGGAUAUAAUCUCCUGCUCCAUGUUGUUGGUUGGAAAUUUUCGGCGGUUGGGUAUGGACUCGCGGCUUCUCAGCUUGUUGGUGGGGUAGUGAAUUACCAAGGCUUUGACGGAUACCCGGCCUGAGAGGGUGACCGGCGACAUUGGGACUGCGGUACGCACCAGACUCCUACGGGAGGCAGCAGUGGAGAAUAUUACAGAAUGGGGGGAAGUCUGAUGCAGCAACGCUGCGUGCGGGAUGCUGGCUUUCGGGUUGUAAACCGCUUUCGAAUGUGCCGUAGAGUGAGUGACGGUAACUGGUAAAGAAGCACCGGCUAACUACGUG